rnacentral:rRNA from 1 species
CACGUAGGCACCAAGCGUUGUCCGGAUUUAUUGGGCGUAAAGAGUUCGUAGGCGGUUCGUUAAGUCUGAUGUUAAAGACUGGGGCCCAACCCUGGGAGUGCAUUGGAUACUGGCGGACUGGAGUGCAGUAGAGGCAAGCGGAAUUCCCAGUGUAGCGGUGAAAUGCGUAGAUAUUGGGAAGAACACCGGUGGCGCAAGCGGCUUGCUGGGCUGUAACUGACGCUGAGGAACGAAAGCUAGGGGAGCGAAUGGGG